AGUGAACGCUGGCGAUAGGCCUAACACAUGCAAGUCGAACGGCAGCACAGUAAGAGCUUGCUCUUACGGGUGGCGAGUGGCGGACGGGUGAGGAAUACAUCGGAAUCUACUUUUUCGUGGGGGAUAACGUAGGGAAACUUACGCUAAUACCGCAUACGACCUACGGGUGAAAGCAGGGGAGCUUCGGACCUUGCGCGACUGAAUGAGCCGAUGUCGGAUUAGCUAGUUGGCGGGGUAAAGGCCCACCAAGGCGACGAUCCGUAGCUGGUCUGAGAGGAUGAUCAGCCACACUGGAACUGAGACACGGUCCAGACUCCUACGGGAGGCAGCAGUGGGGAAUAUUGGACAAUGGGCGCAAGCCUGAUGCAGCCAUACCGCGUGGGUGAAGAAGGCCUUCGGGUUGUAAAGCCCUUUUGUUGGGAAAGAAAAGCAGCAGGUUAAUACCCGGCUGUUCUGACGGUACCCAAAGAAUAAGCACCGGCUAACUUCGUG
rnacentral:rRNA from 1 species